ACAAAUACACCCAUAAACAUGCAAUUAGACCAAAUUAAAAACAAUGCACUACAACAAAAACGGUCUAUAGCGACACUUUUAAAUGUAGGUACAUGUCAAAAAAGUGCUGCUAGCUUAAAUUACCGACACUUUUAAAAAGUGUUGCUAUAUGCGGAAUAGCUAGGUAUAUAGUGACAGUUAAAGAGUGUCGCUAUAACCUAAAAAAGUGCUGCUAAUUUACCAAUAACUUAUUUAAGCAUUUAGUAACCGCCGAAACUCUAUCUCGUUGGCUGCGGUGGCGGAGGAGGACGACAAGAAUGGCUAUUCGUCUAGAAUUUCAGUAGAUUGAGUGAAGAGAGAAGAAAAUAUGGUAAUUGAUUUUUCUUUUUUUUUUUCUUUUCUGUUUGUAAUCGGGCCAAAUGGACUGGGUGUGGUGGGUUGAGUAGAGUAAUCUUUUAUUUUUUAUUGGAUUGGGCUUUAUAUUUAGGCAUUAAUAGAUGUUUUUUUAAGUUUUAGUAUAAAUGGGACACUUACUCAAAAGUGUCCCAAACAUGUGUCCCUAUAACCUAAUUCUGUUAUAGUGAUGAUGGUUUACUUAAAAUUUCUAAUUUGUUGAUCGUG
rnacentral:lncRNA from 1 species